ACGUAGGGGGCAAGCGUUAUCCGGAAUUAUUGGGCGUAAAGAGUGCGUAGGUGGUUUUUUAAGCGUGAGGUGAAAUGCAAUAGCUUAACUAUUGUAAGCCUUGCGUACUGGCAGACUUGAGUGCAGGAGAGGAAAGUGGAAUUCCUAGUGUAGCAGUGAAAUGCGUUAAUCUUAGGGGGAACACCAGUGGCGAAGGCGUCUUUCCGGAAUGUAACCGACACUGAGGCACGAAAGCGUGGGGAGCAAACAG
rnacentral:rRNA from 1 species